UAAAAAAAAAAAAAAAAAAGAACGCAUUUACUUGAUUCCUACACUGCUUCGCCAUAUGUUAGUAGAUGUUUGAAUAAAUGGACAUCAACCAUUAUAAUUGUUCAGUGCCUGUGUGAUGUUUUGGCAACUUUAAAGAUAUUGAUUUGUAGAAUGGUAUCAUACCUUCUUGGGGGAGAGCAUAUUUUUGUAAUGGGAAGUUCUGUUGCUUUUCCUUCUAUUUUCUGGUUGUCAUGCUAUUUUUUUAAAAGGAAAAUUUCAAGGCUAGCAUGGUAGAAAUGUUACCAUGAAAAAUUAUAUGCUACAACAGUGAUUCUACGUAGGCUAACUUACAUAAAAUGAUAAGCCAAUAAUAAAUGUAUAUGUAUAUACGAGUGGGUUUUAUAAAAUUAUAAUUAAAAUGUAAUUUUUUUUAAUAAUUUAAAUAAUCGUAAUGUCUUAUACAUACAUUUUUUAUUGGCUUGUCCUUCUACAUAAACUGUUUUCUGGAAUAAUGAAUACGCUAUAUAAUUUCUUCAUGAUAAAAAAA
rnacentral:misc_RNA from 1 species